GGGAUUGUGGCUCAGUGGUAGAGUGCUUGCCUAGCAUGCAUGAGGCACUGGGUUGGAUACCCAGCACCA
rnacentral:tRNA from 1 species